ACAUAGUAGAGGCUAAGAUACGCGGACCGCUAAGGCGGGCACCGAGGUCCGCGAGGAGCAAGUGGUGCGACCGGCUACCGAGGAG
rnacentral:ncRNA from 1 species